GCAGACACAUUCCAGCCAAUCAGCAGCAGACCCUCCCUCCCAGACCCUCCACCUCCUGGACAGCAUCCAUUUUGAAGCUGCAUUCUUAGUGGGCUGUCCAGGAGGUGGGAGGGUCUGGGAGGGAGGGUCUGCUGCUGAUUGGCUGGAAUGUGUCUG
rnacentral:miRNA from 1 species